GUGGACGUGCCGGAGUGGCUAUCGGACAUGACUAGAAAUCAUGUGGGUUUUGACCGUGCAGGUUCAAAUUCUGCCGUUCACG